rnacentral:rRNA from 1 species
GACGAACGCUGGCGGCGUGCUUAACACAUGCAAGCCGAACGGAAAGGCCCUGCUUUUGUGGGGUGCUCGAGUGGCGAACGGGUGAGUAACACGUGAGUAACCUGCCCUUGACUUUGGGAUAACUUCAGGAAACUGGGGUACAUACCGGAUAGGAGCUCCUGCUGCAUGGUGGGGGUAGGCAAGUUUCGGCGGUUGGGGAUGGACUCGCGGCUUAUCAGCUUGUUGGUGAGGUAGUGGCUUACCAAGGCGUUGACGGGUAGCCGGCCUGAGAGGGUGACCGGCCACAUUGGGACUGAGAUACGGCCCGGACUACUACGGGAGGCAGCAGUGGGGAAUAUUGCACAAUGGGCCGAAGCCUGAUGCAGCAACGCCGCGUGCGGGAUUACGGCCUUCGGGUUGUAAACCGCUUUCGCCUGUUACGAAGCGUGAGUGACGGUAAUGGGUAAAGAAGCACCGGCUAACUACGUG